rnacentral:rRNA from 1 species
AGUGAACGCUGGCGGUAGGCCUAACACAUGCAAGUCGAACGGCAGCACAGUAAUAGCUUGCUCUUACGGUUGGCGAGUGGCGGACGGGUGAGGUAUACAUCGGAAUCUACUUUUUCGUGGGGGAUAACGUAGGGAAACUUACGCUAAUACCGCAUACGACCUACGGGUGAAAGCAUGGGAUCUUCGGACCUUGCGCGAUUGAAUGAGCCGAUGUCGGAUUAGCUAGUUGUCGGGGUAAAGGCCCACCAAGGCGACGAUCCGUAGCUGGUCUGAGAGGAUGAUCAGCCACACUGGAACUGAGACACGGUCCAGACUACUACGGGAGGCAGCAGUGGGGAAUAUUGGACAAUGGGCGCAAGCCUGAUCCAGCAAUACCGCGUGGGUGAAGAAGGCCUUCGGGUUGUAAAGCCCUUUUGUUGGGAAAGAAAAGCAGCAGGUUAAUACACCGAUGUUCUGACGGUACCCAAAGAAUAAGCACCGGCUAACUUCGUG